rnacentral:rRNA from 1 species
GAUGAACGCUAGCGGGAGGCUUAACACAUGCAAGUCGAACGGGCGUAGCAAUACGUCAGUGGCAGACGGGUGAGUAACACGUGGGAACCUUCCUAGGGGUACGGAACAACUCAGGGAAACUUGAGCUAAUACCGUAUACGUCCGUGAGGAGAAAGAUUUAUCGCCCUUAGACGGGCCCGCGUCGGAUUAGCUAGUUGGUGGGGUAACGGCCUACCAAGGCGACGAUCCGUAGCUGAUCUUAGAGGAUGAUCAGCCACACUGGGACUGAGACACGGCCCAGACUCCUACGGGAGGCAGCAGUGGGGAAUCUUGGACAAUGGGCGCAAGCCUGAUCCAGCCAUGCCGCGUGAGUGAAGAAGGUCUUCGGAUUGUAAAGCUCUUUUGCCAGGGACGAUAAUGACGGUACCUGGAGAAUAAGCCCGGCAAACUUCGUG